UCUUUUUCAAAACAUUCAGGGGUCCUCAUUUCAACUUUCGCUUUGGAAAUUAACUUGAUUUGCCAAAUGUUUACACAAUAUAUAUAUUUUAACCAAAUAGUCUAUUAAUCUUUUUACAAAUCUCUUUGAAAUAAUGUUAAUUGCAACAGUGAUAAUCCAAGGAUAAUGUAAACAAAGAGAGUCACUUAAUCGCAGAUAGCUAUCUUUUACUCGAAUGAAGUAUUAUGAUCUGUCAAAAGGAAGGCUCAAAUUAUAAAUAAUCAAGAGUCGGAAUUCAAAAUAUCGAUCAGUCGAAAAUGUAAUUAUACGAUUGUUGAUCCUGCAAUAUAUCAACUAUGGAUAUUACAUAGUUGUCUACUGAAGCCGUCACUAUACUCAAACAAAAAGUAAACAUGAUGGCACACUGAGGAUAGUGUACAUAAGAAAAUCAUAAGUGGAAUCUUAUGAUUGGGUUGAGUUUUAUGUUUUCAACCAUUUCAUUGCUGCAUAUGUUUUUUUACAUAUCAAUUUAAGUUCGAGUUGUAUACGAUACACGUGUACAUUUCACAUGACAGCACAAUAAAAUUUAAUAUUCCAUCUUGCGAGAAAAAAAAAAUCAGAUGAAGUGAACUAAACAGGUUGAAAAUGGCUUCCGCAGAUGAAUUACUUCAAGAUCUUACGAUUCGGGCUAGUGCGUUACAAAUAUUAAUAUAUUACUAAUCUAUUCAAUCCGUGGUACAUUCAAUUCGAAGGAAAUAUUACUUACAGAAUGCGGAGUGGACAUACUACUCACUUACUUAAAUGGUGCACAUCUCGUCUCCGGAACAUAACCGAACGAGUUGUAGAUUUCCAGAUACUCGACCGCCGUUAUCCAGUCGCUCUGUACUCCUCUGCACUCACAUUUUCCUCAAUUGCACGCGCCAGGGAGAGCGAGAUCUGCACCGCAAUCGACGAUCUUUUCUAGGUUCUCUGCUGAGGAUCACAUAGGCCAUUUUAUCUUCCUGCAUUCUUGCUACAUGUCCAGUCCAUGCCAUGUUUUAUAAUUCAUCCGUAGAAAGUCCUAUUAGCAGAUUGGAACAUGUUCGUUGUUACAUUUGGAAUGUAAUUUUGAGUUAGCGCAGCCGUAAUGUAAAAAAUGGGUGAUAUAAGUUAUAUAUAAUCCUGUAAA